rnacentral:tRNA from 1 species
GGAGCUGAAGCUUAGUGGUAGAGCACUUGCCUAGCAUGCAUGAGGCACUGGGUUCAAUCCCCAGCACCA